rnacentral:tRNA from 2 species
GGAGACGUGGGUGAGUGGCUGAAACCACCGCUUUGCUAAAGCGGCAUACGGGUAAUCCCCGUAUCGAGGGUUCGAAUCCCUCCGUCUCCGCCA